UAGGUAAGGGAAGUCGGCAAACUAGAUCCGUAACUUCGGGAAAAGGAUUGGCUCUAGGGGCUGGGUCGGUCGGGCUGAGGUACGAAGCGGGGCGCGGCGCUGUACCGGACUGGGCGAACGACGGCCUCCCUCGCGGGGGGCUGGCGUGAGCCUGGACCUGUGUCGGCGUCUUCCCGUGGAA
rnacentral:ncRNA from 1 species